ACUAAAGCUAGCCCAAAUAACCCCGACCCAACUACUAAAAACUCACUUGAACAAAGCAUUUACCCAAAUCCAUUAAAGUAUAGGAGAUAGAAAUUUUUAACUGGCGCUAUAGAGAAAGUACCGCAAGGGAACGAUGAAAGAAGUCUUAAAAGUACUAAACAGCAAAGCUUACCCCUUUUACCUUUUGCAUAAUGAUUUAACUAGAACAAUUUUAGCAAAGAGAACUUAAGUUAAACCCCCCGAAACCAGACGAGCUACCUACGAACAGUCCCAAAACGAACGAACUCAUCUAUGUCGCAAAAUAGUGAGAAGAUUUAUAGGUAGAGGUGAAAAGCCUAACGAGCCUGGUGAUAGCUGGUUGUCCAAAACAGAAUGUAAGUUCAAAUCUAAAUUUACCUAAAAGCCCUACAACUUCAAUGUAAAUUUAAAUUAUAGUCUAAAAAGGUACAGCUCUUUAGACACAGGAUACAACCUUCAUUAGAGAGUAAGAUCUAAGCCACACAUAGUUGGCCUAAAAGCAGCCACCAAUUAAGAAAGCGUUCAAGCUCAACAGCACAGCCACCUUAAUUUCAGCAACAACCAAUCAACUCCUAAUUUAAUAUUGGACUAAUCUAUCAACAAAUAGAAGCAAUAAUGUUAAUAUGAGUAACAAGAACCAUUUCUCCUUGCAUAAGCCUAUAUCAGAACGAAUGACCACUGAUAGUUAACAACAAAAUAAACACAACCUAACAAUAAACUACCUAUUAAACCAACUGUUAACCCAACACAGGCAUGCACUUUAAAGGAAAGAUUAAAAAAAGUAAAAGGAACUCGGCAAACACAAACCCCGCCUGUUUACCAAAAACAUCACCUCUAGCAUAUCUAGUAUUAGAGGCACUGCCUGCCCAGUGACAUAUAUUUCAACGGCCGCGGUAUCCUAACCGUGCAAAGGUAGCGUAAUCACUUGUUCCCUAAAUAGGGACCUGUAUGAAUGGCCACACGAGGGUUUUACUGUCUCUUACUUUCAAUCAGUGAAAUUGACCUUCCCGUGAAGAGGCGGGAAUAGCACAAUAAGACGAGAAGACCCUAUGGAGCUUUAAUUAACUAAUUCACAAAAAAUAAAAUCUCUAACCCACAUCCAGGGGAUAACAAAACUUUGACUGAAUUAGUAAUUUCGGUUGGGGUGACCUCGGAGAACAAGCCAACCUCCGAGUGAUUAAAUUCCAGACUUACCAGUCAAAAAUAUUACAUCACUUAUUGAUCCAAACCAUUGAUCAACGGAAUAAGUUACCCUAGGGAUAACAGCGCAAUCCUAUUCUAGAGUCCAUAUCGACAAUAGGGUUUACGACCUCGAUGUUGGAUCAGGACAUCCCAAUGGUGCAACCGCUAUUAAUGGUUCGUUUGUUCAACGAUUAAAGUCCUACGUGAUCUGAGUUCAGACCGGAGUAAUCCAGGUCGGUUUCUAUCUAUUCAAUAUUUCUCCUAGUACGAAAGGAAAAGAGAAAUAAGGCCCACUUCACAAAAGCGCCUUCAAAUCAAUAGAUGAUAUAAUCUAAAUCUAAUUAAUUUAUACACAACAUUGCCCUAGACCAGGGCCAC
rnacentral:rRNA from 1 species